CACCAAGGAUGGAGACAUCUCGGACAUCUUGGACAUCUCCUUCCCUAGCUGGCUAAACAGCAGGUGCUUUCCCAGCGCUGGUGCUGGGCACAGCCAAGGUGCCCUCCAGCAGCCCUUAUGUGGGCGUGACAGAGGACUUAGAGCAUCUUGCCUUAGGAUCACUUUGCUCACAUUGUUACCUCAGUUCCAUGCUUCAUAACCCAAUAAUCAUUAGUAAACUCAAAAGGUUACAUUGAGUAUAUAUAUUAUAUGUGAAUACCCAUGGGAUUAUAAAUGGCCAUAUAUAUAUGUAUAAAAC